rnacentral:sRNA from 1 species
ACGGCGCUGCGAGGAGGCGCCCGGAACAGUCAUGGAGCGCCGCGUGGGAGUGAGGGCCUGGGUGGAGGAGAACCGGGGCUCCUUCCAGCCCCCGGUCUGCAACAAGCUCAUGCACCAGGAGCAGCUCAAAGUCAUGUUUGUCGGAGGCCCCAACACCAGGAAGGACUAUCACAUCGAAGAGGGUGAAGAGGUAUUUUACCAGCUGGAGGGAGACAUGGUUCUCCGAGUCCUGGAGCAAGGGAAACACCGGGAUGUGGUCAUUCGGCAGGGAGAGAUAUUCCUCCUGCCUGCCAGGGUGCCCCACUCACCACAGAGGUUUGCCAAUACUGUGGGGCUGGUGGUUGAGCGAAGGCGGCUGGAGACCGAGCUAGAUGGGCUCAGGUAAAUUCUGUCUGGAGGGCUGGGGCAGAGAAAGGGCAAACAGCAGAGGAGCACAGCUCCAAACUGCAGCUGAAGGGAUCCUAGAUAGACUCAAGAAAGCACGUCCUGGCCACUGAGUGGGCAGGGCUUCGCAGCAGAGGCAGUGGAGAUCCUGUCUUUGUUGGCUGAUGGUGGAGGGGUAGAGUGGGGUGCAUUCUGUUCUCUGUGACCCCCUGGAAGCUCACUCAGUCUGAUGACCUUUGGCUGGAAUCAGAAUCUGUGCUUUCUGCGUGAGGUUGUGAACCUUGAAAAUUCAAGACAGGUCUCAGUUAAUUUAAAAGUUUAUUUUACCAAGGUUGAGGACGUGUGCCCAUGACACAGCCUCAGGAGGUCCUGAUGACAUGUGCCCAAAGUGGUCAGAGCAUAGCUUGGCUUUAUACAUUUUAGGGAGACAUGAGACACCAAUCAAUAUAUGUAAGAUAAACAUUGGUUCUGUAUGGAAAGGUGAGACAACUCCAAGCAAAGGUGGGAAGACUCAAAGUGGG